AGCUGAUCACUGGGUGUAAAGCGUGCGCAGGCGGUUUUGUAAGACAGAGGUGAAAUCCCCGGGCUCAACCUGGGAACUGCCUUUGUGACUGCAAGGCUGGAGUGCGGCAGAGGGGGAUGGAAUUCCGCGUGUAGCAGUGAAAUGCGUAGAUAUGCGGAGGAACACCGAUGGCGAAGGCAAUCCCCUGGGCCUGCACUGACGCUCAUGCACGAAAGCGUGGGGAGCAAACA
rnacentral:rRNA from 1 species